AUUUAGUUCAGUUGUUCAGAUCAAUCUCAUUUGGUUUGAUUUUUUGCUGAAUCACAACGUUCGCUCCAGUUGCAGUUGUUUCGUCCCGUCCGGCACCGAGUCAACCGAUGGUCCAGCCUGCGACACGCUCGGCUGUUGCUACGUCAAUGGCAGCCACCAGCCAGGGACUUGGAUUAAAGUCAAAAAUAUCAGGAGGCAGCCACAGAAGCACAGACUGCUUUGGUUCAGCAAUACGCUCCGGCAGGACGAUGCUCGUGGAAGAUCACGCAGUUCCGGUCCUGUGCACAAGAACAGCCCGAUUUGACCCUGUGCGAAGGUUUCAACGAGUCGCUCAGGCAUUAGUAGCAGAGUCCUUGCACCUACAGCUUGUCGAGUGAGCAAUUCCGACGAAACCACUGCCGUUCGCACCAAGUUGGAUCACAAUAAUAAGUGCGACGUCGAGAAGAAGAUUUCCCGAUAGCUAAAAGCAAUGCUAUAAGAUUAAAUAGCAGAGUGUUUUUAACGUGACCAUAGUAUAACGUAGCGGUUUUACACAGAUUUAUCCCGCAGAAUAUGAUAGCAAAAUUACCCAAAAAGUAAGAGCUGACAGCCGAAGUGAAGAGACACGCAUCCUCUACAGAGGCAAGCAAUAACGGAACGCAUCCUCACAAUGAAUUGCUCUUCGUUAGAUUAAACCCCAGGAAGUACAAUUUUCAUUGCAUAAUUUAGUCAACCGAAAUAGAAGUCCUCAGUCGAGAAAGAGAGAGAGACUGAUAGGGUAGCAGCAGCUAGUAAUUAACUUUCGAAAGUAGCGGUUUCGCGUAGCCUGGCACUAAGUAGAGUGUGUUAAGUUAUUACAAAUAUUGGUUCACAAUGGUAGACUAUUACAAAAUGCUGGCGGUGACCAGAACCACUACCGAUGCGGAAAUCAAAAAGGCACACAAAAACUAGCGCUACGAUGGCACCCAGAUAAAAAUCCAGAAGAAUCGUAUCGACGGUUUAAGGAGAUCUCCGAAGCAUAUUAAGUGCUAUCAGAUGAGAAAAAUCGUCGCAUCUAUGACCAGUACGACAAGGAGGGUCUGAUGACCAACAGUUCCGAGCGGCACCACCAUAACACACGACACCGGCGACACAUUUAUAUCCACAAUAUACUGAUGACUUAUCCUUCCGAAAAAGUAAAUAAAA